CGCGCGCAGCGCCGUCGCUGCGCGGCCGCCCGCGCGCAGCCUCCCUGCUCCAAGCCGCCGUCGCCUGCGCGCAGCGGAGCCACCGCCUGCCUCGCCCUCGGCCGCUGCCUCCUUGCUCGGCCGCCGCCUAGCCCCGCGCACAGCGUCGCCCGCGCGGCCGCCGCUGCGCCGAGGCCUCCAGGUGCGCCGCCGCGAGUUCCCCCACGCCGUGGCCGCCGGAUUCCUCCUCCGCCGCCCAACAGAGAAGGGAGAAGGGUGAACGCAGGGGGGGGGGACGCCUCCAGCUGGAUUUGUCGAUUCCAUUUCGACCAGAUCGAGGCGGCGACGGCCGACGAGGGCAAUCUCGACCUCAGCAGCAACGUGUCAACAUGCUCGCCACCAAGAUCUGCCUCUGAUGCGUAGAACUCCGCCACCACCGUUCAUGAUCUCCUCCUCGGGUUCUCUCUCCCCCCGUUUCCAGGGAAUUGUUCCUCUGCACUAUCUCUUUGGAGUGCACUAACCCUCUGGAGGAUGAGGGAAGGCUGGAAGGACAAGGGACUAAUACGUACUUAUGGCGUUUAGCUGAUUAUAGCCUUUUUGUUAUGUAUAAAUGCUGAUUGUAGCCUUUUUGUUAUGUAUAAAUGUUAUGUACAUGUAAGCUACUCCCUCCUUCCCCAUUUAUAAGGCAUACACGCAUAUCAAGAUUCAAACUUUUCUAUC